rfam:Hordeum vulgare subsp. vulgare, WGS project CAJW01000000 data, contig: morex_contig_274800
AAAAUAUUCCCUCCAUUCAAAAUUACUUGUCAUAAAAAUGGAUAAUAAUGAAUGUAUCUAGAAGUAAAAUACAUCUAGAUACAUCCAUUCCUUCGAUAAGUAUUUCUGGACGGAGGGGGUAUGAA